rnacentral:rRNA from 1 species
AUUGAACGCUGGCGGCAGGCCUAACACAUGCAAGUCGAACGGUAACAGGAAACAGCUUGCUGUUUCGCUGACGAGUGGCGGACGGGUGAGUAAUGUCUGGGAAACUGCCUGAUGGAGGGGGAUAACUACUGGAAACGGUAGCUAAUACCGCAUAACGUCGCAAGACCAAAGAGGGGGACCUUCGGGCCUCUUGCCAUCGGAUGUGCCCAGAUGGGAUUAGCUAGUAGGUGGGGUAACGGCUCACCUAGGCGACGAUCCCUAGAUGGUCUGCGAGGAUGACCAGCCACACUGGAACUGAGAAACGGCCCAGACUCCUACGGGAGGCAGCAGUGGGGAAUAUUGCACAAUGGGCGCAAGCCUGAUGCAGCCAUGCCGAGUGUAUGAAGAAGGCCUUCGGGUUGUAAAGUACUUUCAGCGGGGAGGAAGGGAGUAAAGUCAAUACCUUUGCUCAUUGACGUUACCCGCAGAAGAAGCACCGGCUAACUCCGUGCCAGCAGCCGCGGUAA